GACGAACCGUGCGAACGUUGUUCGGAUUCACUGGGCUUAAAGGGCGCGUAGGCGGACGGUCAAGUCGGGGGUGAAAUCUUUCAGCUUAACUGGAAAAGUGCCUCCGAUACUGAUCGUCUCGAGGGAGGUAGGGGCAUGUGGAACUUCCGGUGGAGCGGUGAAAUGCGUAGAGAUCCGGAGGAACACCAAAGGCGAAGGCAGUGUCCUGGGGAGUACCUGACGCUCAGGUGCGAAAGCCAGGGGAGCGAACGGG
rnacentral:rRNA from 1 species